UACGGAGGGUGCAAGCGUUAUCCGGAUUCACUGGGUUUAAAGGGUGCGUAGGCGGACAGGUAAGUCAGUGGUGAAAUCUCUGGGCUUAACCCAGAAACUGCCGUUGAUACUAUUUGUCUUGAAUAUCCUGGAGGUAGGCGGAAUAUGUCAUGUAGCGGUGAAAUGCUUAGAUAUGACAUAGAACACCAAUUGCGAAGGCAGCUGGCUACACAUAUAUUGACACUGAGGCACGAAAGCGUGGGGAUCAAACAGG
rnacentral:rRNA from 1 species